rnacentral:lncRNA from 1 species
GUGAAGCUCAGAUGGCUGCAGGAGGCUGUGCUUGGCCCUGUGCUGCCCAGCACCAGCAGCUCCCGCUGGCAGAAGGUGGAAAUUGGCACGAGCUCUACAGGCCGUGCUGCUCGUGGCUGCUCUGGGAUGUCAGUGGAGGUUAAAAUAGGCACUGGGGUGCAACUUCAGGUUUGUUGGUUGGGUUGGUUUUUUUUUCACGCAUGUAAUAGUUGCCUUCUGCAGGAUCAUGGAAAAACAACAGUUUGCAAUUAUUUAUUUUUCUAAAUAUCCUGAGCAGAUGGGAGGGGAAACUUCCUCCUGCACGGAGAGGAAAGGAGGUCCUUGACUGCUAAAUAUAUCAAGUGUGUAUGCUUUAUUAAAGGCUUUUAAAAAUAUGGUGCAAAAUUGCAGCUCAAACUGUAUUUUGGUACUGGAAAAAAAGAGGCAGUGGGAAAUAGUUACUGGUAAAUCAUAUAGAUUAUUUGUUUUGAAGGCAGGUAUAUCUUUGAGAUGGGAGCCGUGAAGUUCUUUGUAUUGCAGGACAGAAAUCUGAAGAAGUUGAAAUUUUUUUGUCUUGAAAAUAGUGUUUAAAAAUUGAACGAUUUGAGCUGAAAUUGAGUUCAGAACAAAUGUCUGAGUAGGCAGCAACAAAAAGUGAAUGGCCGUAGUGGUCAUAUUUUAAAGGGACUUCAGUAGGGCGUUUGUGCAGGAUCCGUGUCCUUUCUGAAAAAUUGGUCACCUGAGGAGAAGAUGAGAUCUUUGGCUUUCCUGAAGCUACAGCUUGGAUUUACAUUGCUGGUUUUGCCGCUUGAGUGUUCUUGACAUUCAUUUCCUGUAUUUCUAAUCUGUACAAUAACAUAAUUUCAAAGACAAUUCUAGAACUUGAAGAUUCUCCAUAGUAUUUCAUUACCUUUGUCAGUAGGAUUCAGUAGAUUACGGCGAAGCAAAAUAUUUUAAAGCUUAUGCUAUUUACCUUCAGGAUUAAACAAGAUAAACAGCUUACAGUGUUCCCAUUUGCACAAGUCACAGUAUUUUUAAACCUGCUGCCUGUAAUACCGGGUUGUUUAUCGGGGAAUGCAGUUAACCUAAAUGUUGUAUUGUGGCUUCUUUCUGAUUCAUGUGGAUAUAAUUCUCAAAAGCAAAAUGUUUGAUCCAUAAGCCAAAAAAUAGCUUCUAAAAUGUAUUUAGGGAGAGGAAGUCAUUUUGGUACUAAGCAUACUCCCUUUUUCCUGGACAGCUUGGGGAAAACAACAUAGCUGUGUAUAGUAGUAAACUGAUUCCAUAGCUCUAUGCUUUUCUUCUGGAAUUUUGCAAUUUUCCUAUUUUAGGAACAGUGCCAGGUAGAUUAUGAGUUCUGAUGUUACGGACUUGAUAUGCUUUCAUAGCAAGCUUAGCUGUUGCAUUCUAAAAUGUGUUUUUACUUUGUGUAUGAGAUGUACGGUGAUGUUAAGAAAGCAUUCUGAACCUACUUCCUUUAAAAUGGGAUUUUGUUUUGGUAUUCUUACCUAAUAGAAGUUUUGUUUUCCUGCUAUUUAGGAUUGUUUCUGUUGGUGGAAGAGGUAGACAUUAGUUGAAGGAUUUAAAUUGUGUGUUGCUUGUCAUUGUUAAGUUAUUUUGGGGGUGAAUGGAUGGGCAGUGGUUAUUUGCACCUGUGGCUGUCUUAGCAAAACGCCCGUGUUCUCUUUAGUCAUCUGUUUCUAGAAUGAGUUGUUAAAACUUAGAAACUAUUUUAUCAAAUAAUUUUAUCUAAAAUAUGAUUUAUUGCCUGAUUUGAGUGCUGGUGCCUGAUUUGAGUGCUGGUGUUUGUUCAUUUGUUUGUUUUCUACUACUUUUAUCUAUAAUCAGUAGAGUAAUGCUUUCAAAGGACAGCAUUAAGAUCUUAGUACAGAACUGCCUCUCCUUCCACAUUUACUACAGAGGGAGCCCACCACAGUCCCUGUUACGGUAUUACAGCAUCCCGGUUUGAACUGAAUUAAGCUCUUGCUUCAGAAGUUCUUACUGCAUUAGUAAACUGAAUAGGUUUCCAUUUAACGUGUGGGAGGGAAGAGAGUUGGAGGAAGAGGGAAGACUUACAUGGCUGUUGGUGAAGAAGAGAGGGUGGCUGGGGAGCAAAGCAUUUUCUUACUGGUGCUGGAAAGCUGGUAGUUGACUCCACAAUUGAUAUGAAACUGUCUGCAAAGUGUCUGGAGAUAAGUAAUGUGUUCCCUCCCCCUUCCACCUUGCUAUUCGUACAGUUGGGUCUUUAAUAUGUAAGCAAGAAACAGAUUUUUCUUUAUUCUUCCCUUCUACUUAUAUACGCCUAGGACAAAUUAAAAUUCCAGCAGCGUCAGUAGUAGUGAUAGUGAUAUAUUUUAAUAUUGCAAUAGAUGCCUGAACAAUCUGUUUUCAUUUUAUGUCUCAUGAUAAUUUCAGAAAUGAAGGUUGCAGGAAAAAAAUGAAAAUCAUCUUUUUUGUAUUAUCAAGAACUGGUUUUUAGAUAUGUGUGGCCCAAGAUAAAACAAGGCUACUCAAGAUCUGAACGUACACUGAACUUGCUUUUGAUGCUCAUUACAAACUUGUAAUGGCACUACAGUGUAUAGUCAGUUGUCAAUUUGCAUCUGUCUGUGAUGGGGUUGGCAUAGUUGCUCAUGGCAACUGAAAUUGCAGGUUCCUUGCUGGUUUUGCUUGGAAGAUAUGAUAUCUCUAUUUUACUAGCAUAUUGAGAAUGAUUUUCUUGAGUUUCAUUAUUUGCAAAGGAUAUUUUUUGUUCAUCUUUUUUUUUUCUACAUCUUAAAUAACCUGAUGAAGAUGUUAUUUUAGUAGGUGCUGUUAACAUCAGCCAGUUUUCAUAGGAAGCAGUGCAUCAGUAGCUAAAGAAGUGUGUAGGGAAAGAUUAUGUAUGUUGAGUUUUGUGUUCUUAACUGGAGGCUCAUUUAAGAUGCUAAUCCUCAAGGUGUGAGCGUCAGGGCAUUUUGUAAAUCAGACUUAGCAGGGUCUGCUACAGACAGCUGCUAAGAGUAAUAACGCCCCUACAGACUUGGAAAAAUCUUGUGAUAUAGAUUUAUUGGUAAACAUUUAGACUUUUCUAAGAAACAAGUAGAUGAGAAGUACAGAGGUGAUGCAUCUGUAAAAUAAAUACUUUCAGGCCAGCUUCGUGCUGACACGAUGGGAUUGCUUUCUCCAUGACUGGGGCUAGCUGGUGUCUUGCUGCCAGUAUUUUUAUACCUAGUGCUCCUUUUGCAGUGCGCACCAGCCUCGCUUCUUCUGUUGGAUAGUAGUGUUAUUCCCGUGGAAUUUAGUGUUUGUGAGUCUUACAGCUGAGCAAGCUUUUUGCUACACAGCGUGGAAUAAAGGGAAGCUGCGCCCUGUGUCAGAGCAGAGAGUUAAUACAGGUUUAAGUUUCUUCAUAGAUAUAUAUAGCAGCAGUUGAAAACAAGAUAUACUUUUUGUAAGUACUGAUGAAUGCUGAAGUCUUCUUCUGAAAAUGAUGUAUUUUUCGUUAAAUGUAAUACUGAUUAUGUGUGAUUCUCCUACCAUAAGUAAAUUCCUUGAAGACCAAGGUAAUGCUUGGAAAAAAAAAUAGAAAAUUGCCGUAAAGAAUGAUUGAAAUGAUUGAAAUGAGUGUAAUUUGGGGACACUACUUGGAGACACUGUAGCUAUUUCAUUGGAGUUUUUAAAAAUAAAUUUUAUUUUAAAGGUGAUGUGCAACUUAAAUAAAAAAUGGGAAGUGUGUUCUAUUUUAAAUGUUAAUUAAAUUCAUGGAAAACAGAAAGGCAACUGAUGGAUAGAAGGGUGUUACGACCUUGUGGAAAACAGAAGGUAUUUAGGAUUCUAAUAAGCACUGGUGGCAUUUCUGUACUAUAGGCCUUUCUGUUUUGUUUAAGAGGUCUUGAAGUAACAUUAAUAAUUGUGACCUAUUUUUAGGUUUAGUUUGUCUUUUGGAAAAUGGAAAAUCCCAUAUGUGAUGUAUAUGAAACCUUUCUUACGUUGAAGAUGUGAGGAAAGUUUCAGGGUUUUCUGAAGAGACACAUUCACAGAUUGAGAGAAAGAGAUUAUAAUUGCAAUUUUAUGGCUUAGUGAAAUUUGUAAGUAGCAAAUGUGAUGUAAAGAAAGGUAACCACAUUUUCUUCACGUGUGUGAGGCCAUCCUCUGUAUGCAAUUUCUGCACUGCCAUUUGUUGUGCGCUUCAUGGUUAGUUAAUGUACCUUGGGCACGUUAUAAAUGCAUGUCUGGCAUAUCAGAAUAUGAUUUAUACUGUGUAAAUCAUAAAUACUUUAUUCAGUGUUUUCACUGCUCAUUACACAGACUCUUCUAGCAGCACUUGAGAGGGUAAAUGAAUUCUCUUAAGACCUAAAUGCUGUCAUCAGCGAGAUCUACCUGUUUACAUUCUGUAGGAGCUGUACAUGGAGUGCUUUUUGAAGGAAUAAUCCACUGCAUGAAUAAAGAAUAUUCAUGUCUUUGUCAAGCUGAAGUUUAUAAUAAAUUCUAAAUCAAGUAAAAAUACUGUUGGUUUUUUUGUUUUGUUUUGUUUUUAGUGAAGCAGCCUCCUGAACUUAAACAUCUUGUCUCAAAGCAGCAGUAUUAAUAAUUCAGUAGGGUUAAAAGAGAGGAUUGCUUUUUGACAGUUUGUAAUUAUUCAAAGUCAGUUGAGUUUAAAGGGGGAAGAGAACUCUGUAUGAAUUGGCAUGCUGAAAUUAACCUGCCCUGUUCCGUAGUGUGGGAUGUACUGUUUUAUCAGAACGGUGUAGCGUAAUGGGAUCAGCUUCUAAAAUUCAGUCCAGCUGAGUGAAAAAGCUGCAUCUUGAAGGUGUUUUUAUUUGUACAGUUAGAUCGGGACGAUCACUGGAACUGAAAGUGAAGACAAAGGCCCUGUUACACAAGGUCACAGACUGGCUGGUGGCAGCUGUCGCGCUGUGGCAGCUGGGCCGGCCUGGUGCUGGGAGCAGGCCCUUGUGCGAUAGCUGUGCCACGGAGCACAGUUCCCAGAGCAGGCUGUCGUUGUCGUUGGAGAGUAAAAGUGCUUUGAGGUGAAUGCUGAUUUACUGCAGCCUCCAAAAGCCAUGCUCACGUGUACAUCAGUUGGUAGGUUGCCCUACAUGAGUAUUUAGCAUGACAGUUUGGAGGCCGUGCCCAAGAAAAACGUUACAGAAUAUAUGGUAUGUGUAAAAGUAAAAAAAAUUUCUUAGUAGUGUUACAUAUUAAAGGUUAACAGUAAUGAUCUUCACAGCAACAAAUUUUUAAAUAUUGUAUAUUUAAGAUGCUGGCAAACAUUAUCUGUAAACUGCUAAAAGGUCAGACAUAAUCCUAGUCUUUUUGCAGUGUUCUUUAAAGACUGACGUGAUAUAAUGCUCUCUGAAGAAAGUAAGAAAUUUCCUGUGUGUUUUAUAUACCAAUAUGAAGUGGCUCUUUUUAUGCUUAGGUGUUUCCUUAAUUAAAUCCAAAUGUCUGAAUAAAAGCUAGUACAUUUGUGUUGUUCUGAUACUUUUAUUCAUAAAGUUGUGAUAUGAAACACGAACAAGAGCUUGCCUUUGCUGUGUUAGACGGGGCUCUUGAGUAGAAGAUUUAUAUGUGACAUUAUCCUCUGCAGAUCCAUGGGGAAAUUCGAUUGUAAGCCAGCUCUGGUGGCACAGGUAAAUGUUUUUGGAGAAAAUAUGGAUCAGUUUGUGAGUGUGCAGUUUGUGGUUGUACUGAAGCUGAACAAACUUGAGUAAUUGUUUUUUCCCUACUGGACUGUACCAGAGUUUGAACAUAAAGGUAGAUUUUUGGAAACGUAAACUGGAGGUGGCUGUGUGUGGCACUGACUGCUUUCUUUAGCCUUAUCCCACAUGGUACGUUUUCCAUGUGGUUCGGUUGUUGUGAGACUGGAGUAGAAGGAUGGCACCUCCCGUGGCCUACUGUCCCCAGGCACUUCCCUUCUCUCUUAACUUCACUGGAGGAGCUGUCCCAGGGUAGAACUGCAGUCAGCGUGUAGAGUAUAUAGGACUUCUCCAUCUUACCUCAGUUAUUUGCUCAGAAAGUGUCUGCUGUUGGUGCUCAUGGACCUAAAUGGUAAUAGGUUCAAUUGUUUGUUGUUCAUUAAACAUGUAUGUUCAAAAGAAUUGCAUGGUUUCGAUUUAUACUCAGUGAUAAAGUACAGUGUGUCUGUGCUGUUAACAUAAUGAAUGGGAGAUGGCUAAGUCUUUCAGUAGUCUUGAUGAGUAAGUUGGUAAUUCAGACAGAGGAUACUUACUGAAGUUAAUAAUUAUUAAGUCAUUGGAAUUGAUUCAUUACAAGCCUAAUUAAUAAGAAGCCUUUAUUAUGUACUUAGCCAUCACACCCUCAUUAUGUUUUACUGAAUGUCAGAACAAUAUGUGAUAGAAGUAUUUUGAAUGAUUUCUCAAGUAUCAUAGUAAGCUGUGAAACACAAAAUGCCAACCCUGUAUGCUAUAGCAAAACUUGUUGCUUUUUGAGCUUCUUGGGCAAAUUCAUUCAGUAUGUUUUUUUGCUGGUGAACUACAAUAGGAAUGGAUUUCCAGGAAUAGUUUGUUGAGUAGUAGGUAGAAUAAUACCUUCUGUUUGUUUUGGUAGUACUGGAGAGACUUUGAUCCUUACUCUUGUUUUUACUUUGUUGCGAACAUCCUGAUAUAGGGAGGGUUACCACAGUGGUUAAACUGUGCAUGAGAAAUAGGAAGUUCAGCAAGACUUCUUGCUAGUAUGAAAGCCACUGUCUGUCCUCAGGUUAUUUCUCUCCCUGUUUUUUUAUUUGUAUUUUUUUAUGUUCGCUUUGCUCUGUGUUAUAUUGAGGAAAAUACAGUUUAUAUUUUGAAAAAGGGAUACAAAAUAUAGAGUGUAUUUCAAGUGUUCAGGAAUCAUCAGAUUUGGCUUAAAAAGUCUACUUGGCUUCAGUGUAUACCACCAGCUUUGGUAUCCAGCGUCUCUGUAGUUUAAUGGUUUCUAGAUUCCAGUCUGAUAUUUUUUUUUUCCAAAAGCUUUGUUCUUUCUACCAAAAAGAGUUUAAUUUGAUCUGCUAUAUUUUGAUAUUUUGUAUCAUCUUGCUGUGAGAUAUAUAUAUUUGCCUUUUGAAAGGUUAAUUUGCUGUAUAUUGAAACCUUUAAUCCGCUAAAUAUCUCUUCUGCUUGACUUUUGUACUCAUCUGUUACACUCUCAUGUUGAAUGGUAAGUAAGGACAAACCUAGUCUGGUAGGAAACUGGAUAUGUGGUUUAUGUAACUUUAUUAUAAUAGAUUGGUGCAACAUGCAGAAAGUAUGUGUAGCAAGAAUAGACUUUAAAAUUGUUGGUCCCGCUAUUUCUUGCUUUGUGAAUCAGACUAUAAUGUUUGUUGUAAAAAUUUAGUAGUAACAUGUAUUUGAACAGUAAAUCAAUGAUAAUGUUAUUAACACUGGUAAUUGCAGAGUCUUUAAGGGGAUACUAAGAUCUCUAUUGUGUAUAGUCACUGAGUGAGCAGGAGUUUUGGAAGAUGUGCGUAGGGGAAAAAGAACAGCUCCUGUGAGGAUGCCCUGGCGAUGACAUUGUGUCUGUCUGGCAUUCAGCCUGUGAACUUAGCAUUUUUCUUCCUCUGAGAAAUAGUGGGGGAUAGGUAAUAAAUUCUGCACUAGUUUUCAAAUUUUUCAGUUUCAGUAUUUAGAUCUUUUUUCUAAUGGGCUGUCAGAGAGCUGCAUACUUACUUACUUCAGCUCAGAAGUCAAGUUUGCAAACACCUUAAUUUGUUCUGAGCCCCACCGAAGGGAGCAGGUGCUCUUCAGGCAUCACUUUUCCAAGUGCAGUGUAAAUGUAUUGACGCAAGUCCUCCUGUGGAUCUAGCUGAGGACCUAGCAAGUGGGGAGGCACACAAGCUGUCUAGAGUUGUCUUCGUAUAUUCAGUGUGUAUUUUUGUCUAGUCACUGACACUUCUUAGAGCUCUCUUAAGCUUAUUCCAGGUGCAGACUGGUUCUUGGGAAGGCACUCGAUCUAUUUAUACAGAAUUGAUGUUGCAUGAGGGAGGUGUAAAAGAGAUUCUUCUUAUGGCGUUAAUUAGAAUUGAUGGAAGCGUAUCAUAGGGAAAUUAGGUACUGGGAAAAAAAAGGUAUCUUCAUGCUUCAUUUAUUUCAGAUUUGCCUUGGUAACGUUUGAAUGCCUUUGCUUUUUUGCUGUCAAAAUGUCACUAUUUGGAUCUUUCCCAAUGUUUUCAUUCUACUGAUAGGAAACAGAAGGGAAGGAACUAAUUGAUAUUAGUCUGGAAAACAUGUUCUGAAUAAAAGUACAAGCAUUUGUGCAUUCUCAUCCUCAUCCAGAUUUCGAGGGUGUGAGAUAUGUGACAACAGGAGCAUCGUUCUGGGAAUGCAGUUAGGUUUCUUGGGAGGCCAAAAUGAGUUUCCUUCCUUACUGCUACCAAACGAAAGUGCUCAUACUUCUCUUGUUACAGAUUCUCUUAAAUUGUUGCUUUGUAAUGAAAAGCUUGUCUUGCUAGCUCGUUAGUAAUUGCUACCUCCUACUCUCUUGUCAGCAGGGGGUAGGAUUGCCUCCUACACCCAAGAAAAAAAAAACAACAUGAAAAUUAGAUUGUGAUAGAGGCUAAAUUUAAAAGAAAUUUGAGAAGAAAUAGGCCAGGCUAAUCUUUCAUUCUGCAAGAGGGCCAUUUUUUCUGUAGAUACUAAGUGAAGAAAAAAAACAAAAAAAUCCAUCAUUUUCAUUACAGUGGUAUCUUUGCGGGUCCAAGCAACUCCUGUGUUACUGGGCAGAGAACAUUUCCAAAUAGGUUGGGUUUGCUAACAUUUACUGGCAUUCCAUAUUUGAUAAGGCUUUUCAAAGUGGAAAGCUUUCUGCAGUUCAGAAGCAGUUGCACGUGAUACCUGAUUGCCUCACAGCAAGAGGGGAAGGUGCUUCUGAACUUCAGGAGGAGUGUAAGCUGUGAAAGCUUGUAGAUGGUUGUGCUUUCACAAUGGGACAGUAUAGGCAACCACACUUCAAACAAAAACAUGAGAGGAAAGUUUGUCAAAACUCUGCUGUGAUGACUCAUGCAUCUUUUUCAUCAUCUCAGAUUCUGUCUGCGCUGCAGUCACAGCAGUGAAAAUAUGAUGGUAGCUGUUAAAUAUUGGUUUGCAUGCUGCUACCCACAGCAGCAGUUCCUUGAAAUUAGUUGUGAAAAAUGUUAUAAAUCUUUCUGUGUAGCCUUCCAGUAUUUCCUCUCCAUUACUUGAAUUUUUUUAUUCCCUGCAGAUUGAAAGCAUUUCCCUUACACUUUUUCACAUUCCAUUUAACUUUAACGUUCAGUGACUAUGGGAAAUGUUUUUGUUUUUUCAACAAUUAAUCUGUUCUUCAGUCUGUGUCUGCAGCUGAUUGGUGAAUAUUUAUUCCCCCUUCCUGUCAGUUUGCUGCUUUAACUGUAGAAUACAAUAUACACAUAUAGAAUAAAACUAACACGUAUAGUGGUCGAGUUUGGGUGCUUGACUGGCAUGUUGUGGUUGAGGCUUUGUGAAGCACUGGCUUAUUUUGAAACCAUGGGUUUUAUUGGAUGUAGUCACCUUUUGUCAUGGUUGUUCAGAAUUAAUAUGAAUGUAUUCGACUGUCAUAUUGAAAUAAAGAAUAACUGUAUGAUUUAUGGGAAAUAAUAUUUGAUGAUCCUCGUAAUAUUCCUUCCAUUGUGUGUAGUGGUUUUUUUCUUGUGGGAGUAGACAGCUUGUAACUUCCUUAUGUAUUCAGGUGAACAUAUGAGCUUAAGUGGUCACACUCUCUUUGAAUCAUCAGUGAGACUUACGUUAUAAAACAGGUUGUGUGGCAUUACUGACACUUAAUUCUACUGAACUAGAAAAUUGCUUGUAAAUGCUUGCCUUCAGACCAAGCCUUCCUGUUUCAGCAUCUGGAAAAUCAAGUCACUGGUUCCCAACAAUUCACUUUUGUCUUUUUUUUCCUUUAAUAAUUUGAUUAUUUUGCCUAUUUCGUAGAUACUAAGUGUCUACAAGUACAUGGACAGUUAGUAUGAAUCGACUUCUGUGUCGUCAGUCAGGUGGCAAUGCUGAGAUGAAAGCUGAUAUAGAGGAGACAAGUAAUACUCAUCAAGUAAGAGCACUGUCCAAGUGUGCAGAAUAGGACUAUUACUUAUUUGCAAUCAAAUGACUUCUAAAAAAUUUUCAGGUUAAGAUUUAAUGCUAAGAAGUUUUUUUGAGUCUCCAGUUUAUUCGGUAGAUACAUAUUGAUUUGUAAGAAUGGUGGCUGAUAAAGGAAUUGAUUCAGUAAUUCAGAUUUGCUAUUAAUGUUCAAUCUACAGAGUUACUCUGCUUUAGUUUUUCUAGCCAAUCUUUAUUUUUCAAAGGACAUUACUAUGUACAUCUUUGCUGUGGUCUGUGUUCGUGUCUUCAGCUGUUCUUCAAGACAACUUACUUGUUUCAAGUUUAAGAACUUCAGAAGAAUGAUGUGGGGUUUUAUGUAUUUUCUGUAUGUCCUGAAAAGGGUAGCAUUUCCUACGUAAUUCACUUAGUGUCUGUCAAUGUUAAAUGGAGAUCUGUGCAGUUCUUUGAAAAAGCUCAGCUCUUAAAGUAUUUGUCAAGAUUUCUGCCAUGUAGUAGAUCAUUCUUAAUGCUUUCAGUGGAAUCCUCAGUCACUAAGUACUGUGUAGUUCUUUGGAUGUCAGGUCUUUAUUUGGCUUUACCUGCUUGGCUGUAUGAACAUGCUUUUUUUACAAACAGAUAUUUGAUCCUGGACAGAGUUGGAAAACUGGUAUUUCACAUAUUUUGUGCAAUGGCAGAUCAGCUGUCACAUACAAGGAAGGGUAAAUUAAAGAACAGAAAUGCAUGUUGAAGUACACUCAUUUUAAAACUAUGGUGGUGUAGUGGUGUGGAUUUUAUACAGGCAUUCUUAUAUCAUCUUAUAAACGUAUGCAGUUGAGAAAACAACGUGGUCUUAUCUUGAAUGUGAACCUUCUGAUUCUGUAGAGAUUGUGGAACAGAUGAGAUUUAAAUCCAUUGUCAGCGUUUUUUCUUAUUUUGCUUGAAAGGUGUAGGGUUUUUUUUUGUCAUUGUUUUUACUUCAGAAAGUCAAGCUCAACUUGCAUGUGGUUUGCAGGAGCUUUAUGGUUUUCCUUUUUUGAAUGCUGCAGUGGGGCAGCUUCAAAAAAAAAAAAAGAAAAAAAGGAAAAUGAGGAAGAGAAACAGCACAUAAAGCCCCUCUACCUUGAAGGCAUCAUCAGGAUUCUGAAAGCUUGCUUGAACGGAAUCUAGAUCAGAGCAGAAGCAACUGAAAAGUGUUUUGAUGUGCUUUCAUUGUUGGAAUAGCAAAAUGGUAACUUCUAGGUAUUAGUGUUAGAUUAUUCGGUUAUACAAGAUAAAAUAAUUAUAGAUGAGAUAAUGGGGGAAAAAGAUGGAAAAAACUGAUCCUAAACCCAAGUUCAUGUGUUAUGCUUUGAUGUUGGGAUUUUAGUUGAACUUAAAUCAUUAUAAACUGUCCUAAAAUAAUCAGGACAGAAGUAGUUUUGGUGUUCUUGGCUCACGCACCACAGUAUACUACAUGUACAUGUUAUAAUACUGUAACGUGUGUGUUUGAUUAUUAUGCUUAAGUGUUCUGACCAUAUCUCAUGUUUCAGCUCCUCGAGAACUUCUCAUUUGAGCAUUUAAUCCAGGUUUGUCUACUGCAUGACUUAAAAUGAUGGCUGCCAAAAACUGAGGAUGGCUGUGUAUCUCUGUCCAGAGAAAAUUCUUCCUCGAAGGCUAGUAUAUAGGUGUAUCACUUACGUUAUUCUUUUACAAAAGUACCAGUUUGGGAUUGUGUGCUUUUUAACAGUAGUCCUGCAAAUACAGUGAAGGAGAGUACAUAUUUUUUUUCCAAUGUUCACGUUAAUAUUUUUUCUUUAAAAAAUUACCCACUUAUAUUGUAAUUAUGAACCUGUCCACCUUCAGGGAUGAAAGCAUCAGGUAGCUGGUUAAUGUAUUAGCUGGUCUGUAUUGCAAAACAUUUUUUCCAUUCUUUUAGGUGUCUGUUGUGUAGCCACACUUGUACUCUGAGUAAUAAUAUAUUCAUUUCUAAGUUGGAUCUAAACUCUUUCUUGCUCUUCACUGAAGUUAAAAUAGCGUUUAAAAAAAAAAAAGUCUGAGAAAAUGAACAGAAAAGUCUCUACUCACAGUAUAGCUUUCAACUGUACCUUAUAGCCUUUACACAGGAAUAAGAAUUUCUGUAGCUUCCAAGAAAUCAGUUGUGUCAUUAACAUUUAGGCUUAAGGACUGUGUAAAGCUGUUGAGUGUAUUUCUCUGAUUGUAAGGAUUUUAAAAAAUUGUUGCAGGUUAGUAAUUGAUAAUAUUUGAAAUUUUAAUUAUAAUUGCUGAAGAACAAGGGACGAAUAUGCAUCGUGACAACUGAAUUAUGUAAGAUAUCAAAUUUUCCUGUCAAAUUGUCUGAGUCACAUAUUUCUCUCAUUUUUUUAAAAAAAUUUUAUUUUGUUGAACGUAUUUGAAAUUGAAAAAACUCCUAUGCAGAGAGCAAGGUAAUUAGAAAUAAUAGCACACUUCAGUAUUUUUACUUGAAUAGUUUCAGCUGCAUGAAUUUUAAAUUGGCCGUCUAGUUUAAGGGGCUGAAUGCACGUGCUGAAGUCAUUUAAUGGCUGCCUAGUGAUCUUCAUAGCUGAGAGAAGUACUUUAAUCUAAUGUGCAAAAGGAAAUAUGCAAAAACAUCUGUAUUUAAAAAUGUAGAUGAGAACAGUUCACAUUUUUUUUCUAGCAAACUGUUUAUAACGAUAGAAUACAUGAUAAUGAAGAAGUUUGGGUCAGUGAAACUGAAUUUAUAGCCUGAAGUGAUUUACUUUUGCUUUCGAAUAUGUCUGAUUUAAUGAAUAGAACAAUGCAAUACAGUACUUUGCAAUGUGUUGAAAAUGUUAGCUAGGCUAUGGAAGCAAGAAGUUUGUGUUUCUCGUUCUUUGUAAGAGUUGUCUUCCUAUACUAGCUUCAUUAUGGAAAUCAUGGCAUUUCUUUCAUUCUUCCUGAAAAGUAAUGGAAUUGUUAUCAAUUUACCUGCAGGGGAUGAGUAAAGAUGAAUAUUCAACUGCUUUGAAUAUUACCUUAUUUCUAAAUAAAACAAGAUUUCUGUUUGGAGUUGGAUGGCUUUUGAUAAAUUGUUCUUAGAUUUUUAUUCUUCAGUUUCCAUGGCCCAACUUCUGGUUUUGUCAUACUUCUGCUCCGUCUUUGAAGAUUGGAUAAGUGAACAGAGAACUAAGACUUGCAUGGUGAAUUUGUGUCUCUGAAGAAUGAGGCCUAUUUCAGUUGUCUCAAUAGAUAAUAUUCCUUUGCUAAAAUGAUUUUCAGACAGUAACCCUUCAUUGAUGUAAGGCUUCAUAUAUGUAGUAAAGGAAACUGGAGAUUUUUGAAGCUCUGGAGGUUUUGUCUCUCACUGUCUUUAAUGAUUAAAAUCUGACAUAUACACGUGAGUGUUCUCUAAUUGGAUGUUGAAAAUCCCUAGCAUAUUUUGCUAGGGAUAGAGCAAAAGUGAUAAUAAAUAUUCAACCUUUCCUGGAUAUUUUUUUUAAUAAGAUUUCACAAUGGCAGAUUAGCCCAGGUUUUAUUUCAUUCAUUACUCUUAUGUGUCCUUAAGAAUCACUUAUCAUGGACUCACAGAAUGGCCUGGGUUGGAAAGGACCUUAAAGAUCAUCCAGUUUCAACCCCCUGCUGUGGACAGGGCUGCCACCCACCAGCUCAGGCUGCCCAAGUCCCCGUCCAACCUGGCCUUGAACACCUCCAGGGAUGGGGCAGCCACAGCUUCUCUGAGCAACAUAUCCCAGUGCCUCACCAUCCUGUGAGUAAAGAAAUUCUGCCUAACACCUAAUCUAACUUUCCCCUUGUUCAGAUUAAAGCCAUUCUGCUAUGUCCUGUCACUAUCAGAGCGCGUUGGAAGUCUGUCCCCCUCCUGUUCAUAAACUCCUCUCAAGUACCUCUGAAUUAACAACCUCUUGAAGCUGGACAUUUUACAGAUACACGGCUAAUGUUGGCAGUUAAGUAAAAAGUCCUAAUCUUCACAGUGAAUGGAGGAGAGAAUGGUAUCUUGAUUGAAUGCAUCGAUUUUUGCUAAGACAAAGCCUUAGUUUCAGGAUAGUCCUGUGAAAUAAUAGACGCCAUUAUUAAACAUUUCUUUCCUUUAAAAUUGUGAAAACUGCAAUAUACGGGUUUGGAAAGCAAAACUUCCUUAUUUUACUUUGAAUCUAUGUGAGUAUAUGCAAAUUUCAGUAAACUUCCAUUCACAGAUGAAAUUUGAAGCAGGCCUUUUGGUCUCUGAGGUGUGUUAUGUUGGCAUAAUGGUGCUCCUGGGAUUUGGUACAGUUCUGAUGUCUUCGGUGGAAAAAUAAUUAGGUCAGUGGUAGGAGAUUUAAAAAAUAAUAAUGAUAAAAAAGCAUAAAGCAUUUACGAAAGCAAAUAAUGGUGUGAAGGUUUCUUUGGAAGCACUUCAUUUCAGUGAUGCCUGUGGUAAAAUUGUUUUGUCAUCGGUUGUGCUCCAGAGCUCUGUACAGCCAGUCCUACCCCAGCUGCCUGUACCUUGGAUCACUGCUCCACCUCUAGUUAUAGCAGAUUUGUUCUUAAUGCUCACUGUGGGAUCACCCAUCAGUGCCAACUUGAUCUAGAUAAAGCAUCGGCAAAUAAUAGCACUUCUGUUGACUUGAUCAGAACACACCAGCCUGUUCCUUUUCAUCUUUGGGAUGGCUGUGGUAGGACAGAUGAUUACUUACAAAGUGUUUGGAAGAGAUUUGUGCAGAGAAGCCAGAGAGCUGUGGUGCUCUGCAUCAUGUGAAUGUAUGGGGCUUUGAUCUAGUAAUUAAGCAGGCUAAUAACCAGUAUAGGCUUAAGAUUUAGACCAAGUCUCUGUCAUAAUUUUCUACUUCUAUGGGUGGGAGAACUUGUUGCAUGUAGCUUACUCUAGUCCUUUCUCUCUUGUUUCUAAUUACUUUGUGAAUCGACUCUGCUUUUUUCUCCUCUCUUGACUUCUUAUAGUUUGUAUAUGUCUUCCAUUCAUUGCCAAUUGCAGUUCAGUGCUGAAGCAUCAUUCUCCAGUGGCUUUAGUUGCUUUAUAAACAUCAAAUUAUUUUUAGCCAUAAGAAUUCUUUCGUUGCAACUUCUUUUUGGAAACCUGUGUAUUCUGCAGUGACUUCCCUAACAACCUUUCCUGUACAGCUUCUGACUUUUUUUUUCUUUUUCAUAUUUCCAUUUCAUCUGAUCAGAGGUAGUACUGAUCAGAUGAAAUGAAAAUAACUGAUACGUUUUUUUCCUCGAUGGCUACAUGAUGAUAGAACUGCAUUCUCUUCAGUAGCUCACAGGCUUUAAUUGAAUACCAAGAAGCGGAAUGGGCAAUUGAAGUAGCUUCUACAUAAAUUAUAAUGUGGGCAGUGAGGAACAAAUUAGAGCUGUUAAACACUAAUCUUUGAACUGGGGUUAGCGUUGUGUUUUGGUCUUUGUAACCUAUGUGGUUUUUGUGUGCUUCCUUGGUUGCUUGCUACUUCCAUAGAUUUCUGUAUCAGGUUUCUCUGAGUUAUCAGUGUUCUUUUAUCUUUGUUUGAUUUCAGUACAUCAAGAUAGUAUGUAUUUGGGUUUGUUACUUCUCUGGAAAUUGAAAUGGAUUAAAUCAUUAUUUAACAACAUCUAAUUUAGCAAAUUCAGCCUGGAUUCUUGGAAACCACCUUUAUUUUCAAUAACUGAGUAUGCUUUAUAUUUUUUGUGUGUAAAGCAAAAGUGAAUGCACUUCUGCAGUGUCAGAGGGCACUUCGUGUGUACCAUGUUUGCUGCCGUCAGCAAUUUCCUGUUACAGCUUUUUUCUCAAUAAUGUUAGUGAAUUAAGAAGGGAAGUCUUUCAUAAUCAGAUAAAAAUUGCUGUGUGCCUUCUUCCUUCAUGUUCAGUAACUACGUUUUUGACACUGCUUCCAAUAACAAAGAUAGCUAGGUUGUAAAGAGCACGGUUCUGUUAAUUUAUGAAAUAAUUCUGUAAACAUUUGUCUUUUUAUUAUUAUAUUAUGACAUCUUUAUAGUUCUGUAGUCUAUUUUAUUGCCCACUUUUAGGUUCUCAUAAUUUAGCCAAUAUCCUGAGCUCUUCAUCAGCUUUUUAUUGGAGCCUCUACCAUAUAAUAAUAAUCCAUUCAUAAAGGUGGAAAGUGUAGUUAUUGGGAUGGUCUCAGAGUUAAUGAAGAGUUAACAGAACGUAUUGUAGGAGUACCUGCAAGUACCUCAUUAGAAGUCUUGAAAUUUUCUCAUUAGUAUUUUGAGGGCAGCAGGGAAAAUUAAGCUAAAGUGAUUCUGUUGAAGCUCCAGAAUGAGGACUUCUUGGCUGAAGUAAAAGAAGAAAAUCUUAAAAACCCUUUGGUGGGAUCAGUUGUCAUGCAGAAUGUACGGCUGAUCAAAUAAAGGGAAGAGGAGCCUGUCACCCCACAGUCCUUCCCUCACAAGGAGUCUUACAGUCUCUGGGUACCAUACCUUUAUGGUGAAAGAGUUGCUGAGGCGGUGAAGGUCAUGUAGAGGAGCCAGGAAGCUUCCAGAUUAUGUCAAGUUAUCUUACCUAAGUACUGUUUUUGUGCUACUCUGGUAAAAAUCCUUUCAAAAAGUGUACCUUGAGUCCUUUCUUAUGGAUAGACCUGGAUCAGAAACAGACACUGGAGGAACGAUAUCGUAACUAGAUUAUUUUGUGCUUUUACGAAUUGCUAAUGAGGCAUGGAUGGCAAUUCCUUUUGAAGGCCGCCUCUUGGGUUCCCUUUUGUUAAACAGAAAUGUAGACUGCUCUUCAAGCAAAUGAAACUGCCAAAGUACAAGCACUAGAAAUGAAAACUGUGUUGCUCCUUAGAAACUUCUGGGAGUAUUUAAUUUCAGACUUAUCGAUCCUAGUCAUUGAAACAGUGAACUGCAGUGGAGGAGGUUCUUCUGGUUGCUCUUCAACAGUAGCAUACUUGGCUGGUAAAACAGAUUUCAUAGUAUGUGCAUCUCCUGGCACAGAGACUGCAGACAGAAAGCAGCAAUGUGGGUGCCAGGUUGCUUCAAGGGCGUUUUUGGAGAAAGGGCGAAGGAACGAGAGGAGCUUGGACUGCUCUUUUGGUGUAGCAAAAUAGAGAUCCUACAUGUCCUCAAGCAACUCUGCAGGACUGUUCUGAGACCUAUGUCAUUUGCUAACAUUAUAAUAAUGGUUAGGGCUCCUUUAUUUUCUGCCCUGGAGUUUUACAGCAAAACAGGUUUGGUAUUUUUCUGAGAGAGAAAGUUGCUUUCAAGGUGGAUCUAUAUUAGACUCUGACAUUAAGUAUUUCUGAAAUAAUAUUCUGUAGGGAAUGCUGAGUCUCUCUCUUUAUAGGCAGCAGUUCAGAUUUACCUUUUCACAGAGGAUUUUCUCUUUGUGAGACAAAUCUUGCAGCUUGACAGCAUUACCCAGGUCACUGACAGCAGGCAGCAAUCUCAGCCUCUGCAAGGCAUUGAGAUGGAGAAUGUGAAUCAGUUUGCUGGGGGAGGUGCUCACCUUCUGCUAGGCUGUGGCAGGAUGAGGCUGCCUCACAGCUGGGUUCUAACAGCAGAGUGAUUGUGUUAGUGAUUCAGGACAAAUUAUUUUGAAGACAUAUAAAAUUGCACUUCCUCCUUCUGCCAGGCAAACAAAAGAGAGCAAAUGGGUCUGCUCAGCACAGUGAUGCAUUUGUUAGCAGUGCUUGGUAUGGUCUCAGGGAUCCUUUUACUGCUUUUUUUUUUUUCAUAAUAAAAUACCUGGUUAUGUUUACAUAGGCUUAAAGGAUCCCAGAGAGAUUCCAUUCACCAGUGUGUGUGCCUGCUUUUGUUGACUUUACCUGUUUCAGUUCUGUUUAAAACAUUUUCUGGACAGUAAUUGUCGCUCCGUUUUUGUUUGCUAAUUACUCAUGUCUAGUUUAGUAUUAUUUGUUAAUGUUAAUAGUUGCUACUCUCCCAGUUUCCCCAUAUCCUAAUACCGCCUUAUUGACCCAUCGUUUACUUACAGAUUAGCUUGUUUCCAUGUGACUGGUUGUUGCUGUGUCUCCACUUCCCUGAGUCUGGCUGACCUCUUGUCAGUGCCAGGGGACAUAUUCUUUAGUCCUGGCUUUGCUGCAGGCCCUGGGGACUUGCUGCCAUCAGGCAGAGAAUGGCCUGUACCAAGAGAGUGACAAGAAGUGUGAGCAGCGUCCUCUGCUGUGCUGUCUGCCCUGUCUGGAGCAGGGGAGGCUUCUCCAGCUGGUUUGCCAGAUUCACCCAAAUUACAAAGUUGUAGUUCUGCUCAGUACCAGAAUUUGGGAAUCCUUGUCUGGACGGGAUCUGUUAGUCUCCAUGUAGGCUUUUUGUCUUCACACUGGUGGUAACAGCUGUGACAGCUUGAUCCAUGGCAGUUGCCUUAGUUUGUAUGCUUAAAUGAAGAGGUACUGUUCUUUAUCUGCUCCUGGAAAGUACCCUGGGAAGUACCGGUUGUGAGAUGUGGUAGGAUGGCUUAAUGAGGGAGUGGGAUGUCAUUGCAGGAGAAGCACGGAGUGUGAAAGGGAAAAACCUGCAUGUGGUUAUUACGCGGUAGGAACAGUCUGAACUAUUGGAGAGUGAAGGUGCAUGUACUGAGUGUUUGUUUUUCAUUUCAUACACAUUUGUUCUUGUCAGAUGUCAUCUUUCCUUAACAACAUUUGCUGUUAUCCUUUAUUUUAUUCACAAAUUCCAUUUAUGUCAUCUCUCAGCUUUUCUUCAACUAGGCUAAAUUAGCUAAUGGUAAAACUCCGAGUUUUUCAGGCUAUUUUUCUAGUACUCGACAGUAAAACCACAGUACUUCUGGUGCAGACAGUAUGAUACUGCAUUCGAUGAACAUCAGUGAUCUGUGCUCUACCUCCAAGACGGUAUCAAGGUGGCUUAAGCACAUUCUUGCCCUUUCUUCUCUGCCUUGCACUACAUAUUACCAGCACCUUGCUGUUGCCAACGUAACUGUGAAUCCACUCCACAAACAUAUGUCAAAACUCUUAUUUCUUUCCCAGGUUGUCAGCUAGAUCAUCAUUUGCAUUAGGCACAGUGUCUUAUGUGUUCAGUGUCUUUGGCACUGGGUGCCUAAACGAGAGCAAGCACUCUGAGUCCCUGUGUGCAUAUCCAAUUGACCCUUGAAUGGCAGCGUUAACAUAUCAGGCAGAUGUAGCAGCAUUUGUCUGAAUGUUGUAACAGAACAAAUUGGUCCCACGCUGGGACAUCUUGACUUCUAUGUAAAAAUUAAUACAGCAGAAAAAAUUGUAAUUGACUUGUUGUUCAGAGCUUUGCUGCUAGUGAGGAAUUUCAGGAGCUGGAGGAGGGAAGAAAAGACAGUAACCAGACUGGAUGUGGCUCUGGGCAGCCUCGUCUAGUGGUUGGCGACCCUGCACAUAGCAGUGGGGUUGAAACUAGGUGAUCAUUGUGGUCCUUUUCAACCCAUAAAAAAGAAAGAAGAAUUAUAAGUUUAUUUAGGUAAAAUACAUUAAUUCAAAUGCAUUUUGGGGCCAUAGUUGAGAGAGGUUGCUAUGCCAGAAUGAGUUUAUUUACUCUCUCUUUGGAGUUGUCUUUACAGUACCUCUGUGGAGAUGUUACACAUACUCAGCUUGACUACGAGAAACUUUUUUAGUCAUUGUUUCUGUCAAGAGUGACUUUGUUUUAGCCAAGGUAUUCUAUCACUGUAUUGUUUCAGACAUAGUAGUUUUACCACAGUUUGCUGUUGUCAGAAGUCUCUAGAAAAACACAGAACAUUUCUGUGUUAAAUAAGACUCCAUACAGUCAGUUCUGUUACACCAGUGUUUUCUUAAUAUCUUGCUUUGUGUCUCAUUGUAAUGCAUCAGAUAUUAAAUGUGACCUGCUAUUCUUAGAAGGGAAAAUAUCAUGGAUGUUGACAGUACUGUAGAAUGUGCUGCCUAUGUUGUCUUUUUUUCUCUAACUGAAAAUCCUUCCUGUGUUUUUAUGCUGUGCUUUCUUUCAAUAAAAGAAAAACAAAACAACAAAACAAAUCACAAAUUACAUUGAAACAGC